CAACCUCAACUCAUAUGGGACUACCCCCUGAAUUUAAGCAUAUUACUUAGGGGAGGAAAAGAAACUAACAAGGAUUUUCUUAGUCGCGGCGAGCGAAAAGAAAAUAGUUCAGCACUAAGUCACUUUGUCUUUAUGGCAAAUGUGAGAUGCAGUGUAUGGAGCAUCAAUAUUCUAGUAUGAGAAAUUAAUGAUUUAAGUCCUUCUUAAAUGAGGCCAUUUACCCAUAGAGGGUGCCAGGCCCGUAUAACGUUAAUGAUUACUAGAUGGUGUUUCCAAAGAGUCGUGUUGCUUGAUAGUGCAGCACUAAGUGGGUGGUAAACUCCAUCUAAAACUAAAUAUAACCAUGAGACCGAUAGUAGACAAGUACCGUGAGGGAAAGUUGAAAAGAACUCUGAAUAGAGAGUUAAAUAGUACGUGAAACUGCUUAGAGGUUAAGCCCGAUGAACCUGAAUAUCCAUUAUGGAAAAUUCAUCAUUAGAGUUUUAAUAUUUUAAUAAUAUUAUAAUAAUAGUGUGCAUUUUUUCCAUAUAAGGACAUUGUAAUCUAUUAACAUAAACCAAAUUUAGCAUUAAAUAUGACUUAUAGUUUAUUUAAAUUAUUUUGCUUGCAUUUUAACAUAGAAUAAAUGUCAUUAAUUUGAUAAAGUGUUGAUAGAUUUAUAUGAAUACAGUGCGUUAAUUUUUCGGAAUUAUAUAAUAGCAUGAUUAUCAUUGAUUUUCUGUGUUUAUUAUAUGCACUUGUAUGAUUAACAAUGCGAAAGAUUCAGGAUACCUUCGGGACCCGUCUUGAAACACGGACCAAGGAGUCUAACAUAUGUGCAAGUUAUUGGGAUAUAAACCUAAUAGCAUAAUUAACUUGACUAAUAAUGGGAUUCGUUUUUUAACUAUUUAUAGAUAAUUAACACAAUCCCGGGGCGUUCUAUAUAGUUAUGUAUAAUGAUAUUUAUAUUAUUUAUACCUCUAACUGGAACGUACCUUGAGCAUAUAUGCUGUGACCCGAAAGAUGGUGAACUAUACUUGAUCAGGUUGAAGUCAGGGGAAACCCUGAUGGAAGACCGAAACAGUUCUGACGUGAAAAUCGAUUGUCAGAAUUGAGUAUAGGGGCGAAAGACCAAUCGAACCAUCUAGUAGCUGGUUCCUUUCGAAGUUUCCCUCAGGAUAGCUGGUGCAUUUAAAUGUUAUAUAAAAUAAUCUUAUCUGGUAAAGCGAAUGAUUAGAGGCCUUAGGGUCGAAACGAUCUUAACUUAUUCUCAAACUUUAAAUGGGUAAGAACCUUAACUUUCUUGAUAUGAAGUUUAAGGUUAUGAUAUAUUGUGCCCAGUGGGCCACUUUUGGUAAGCAGAACUGGCGCUGUGGGAUGAACCAAACGUAAUGUUACGGUGCCCAAAUUAACAACUCAUACAGAAACCAUGAAAGGCGUUGGUUGCUUAAAACAGCAGGACGGUGAUCAUGGAAGUCGAAAUCCGCUAAGGAGUGUGUAACAACUCACCUGCCGCAGCAACUAGCCCUUAAAAUGGAUGACGCUUAAGUUGUAUACCUAUACAUUACCGCUAAAGUAGAUGAUUUAUAUUAUUUAUAAUAUAAAUUUUGAAACUUUAGUGGUUUAGGAAGGUACAAUGGUGUGCUUAGAAGUGUUUGGCGUAAGCCUGCAUGGAGCCGCCAUUGGUACAGAUCUUGGUGGUAGUAGCAAAUAAUCGAAUGAGACCUUGGAGGACUGAAGUGGAGAAGGGUUUCCUGUGAACAGUGGUUGAUCACGAGUUAGUCGGUCCUAAGUUCAAGGCGAAAGCCGAAAAUUUUCAAGUUUUAAAAAUGUCAAAUGAAAUAAUAAAUAAUAAAACACUUGAAUAAUUUUGAACGAAAGGGAAUACGGUUCCAAUUCCGUAACCUGUUGAGUAUCCGUUUGUUAUUAAAUAUGGGCCUCGUGCUCAUCCUGGCAACAGGAACGACCAUAAAGAAGCCGUCGAGAGGUAUCGGAAGGACAGGGUCCUGGUGAACGCAGAAGGUCAACGCAGAAAUGCUAUACUUCGUAAGUCCGGAUCCAGGUCAAGUCGACUCGAAACCUCCUCGUGGUGUCCUCUGGAUGCUAUCUAGGCCAUUGUCUAGUUAGUAACAGAUUCGAGCGGCGGUAUUCUGAAGGUCUAAUCCUGACGAAUAUUAGAUAACGUUGGAAUAUGGUCUAGGAUUACGUCCGCCUACUGAAAAUUUGAGUACACUUUUAAGUUGGAGCAAAAUCCAACAUAAAUGAAAUAUGAUUUGCCACAUUCUAAUCUUGGGGUUACAAACAAAUUAACCAAAGGCGCUUGCUGCCUCAGCUUGACAUCUAAAAGAAGGCACAAACAUCGCAUGGCUAAAAGAGGAGGUUUUAGUACGUAGGCGCUGUGGAACUUUAUAGUUCUGAUGAUGCAGUGAAUCGUGCAUGCGGCAAUUCACCCGUAGUAAGGUGACCGUAUCUUUCGAAGAUUUCCUCCCUCUGCGAUCAAAAAAAAAAAAAAAAAAAAAUAGCCAAAUGCCUCGUCAUCUAAUUAGUGACGCGCAUGAAUGGAUUAACGAGAUUCCUACUGUCCCUAUCUACUAUCUAGCGAAACCACAGCCAAGGGAACGGGCUUGGAAUAAUUAGCGGGGAAAGAAGACCCUUUUGAGCUUGACUCUAAUCUGGCAGUGUAAGGAGACAUAAGAGGUGUAGAAUAAGUGGGAGAUAUUAUUCCUUGUGUUUGAUAUCGCCAAUGAAAUACCACUACUCUUAUUGUUUCCUUACUUACUUGAUUAAAUGGAACGUGUAUCAUUUCCUAGCCAUUAUACGGAUAUAUUUAUUAUAUCUUAUGGUAUUGGGUUUUGAUGCAAGCUUCUUGAUCAAAGUAUCACGAGUUUGUUAUAUAAUCGCAAACAAAUUCUUUAAUGAGAGAGUGCAUUUAUGUAUUUUUAAUUUGAAAUAUUUGGUAUAACUCCAAUUACUCAGGUAUGAUCCAAUUCAAGGACAUUGCCAGGUAGGGAGUUUGACUGGGGCGGUACAUCUCUCAAAUAAUAACAAAGGUGUCCCAAGGCCAGCUCAGUGCGGACAGAAACCACACAUAGAGCAAAAGGGCAAAUGCUGACUUGAUCUCGGUGUUCAGUACACACAGGGACAGCAAAAGCUCGGCCUAUCGAUCCUUUUGGUUUAAAGAGUUUUUAACAAGAGGUGUCAGAAAAGUUACCAUAGGGAUAACUGGCUUGUGGCGGCCAAGCGUUCAUAGCGACGUCGCUUUUUGAUCCUUCGAUGUCGGCUCUUCCUAUCAUUGUGAAGCAAAAUUCACCAAGCGUUGGAUUGUUCACCCAUGCAAGGGAACGUGAGCUGGGUUUAGACCGUCGUGAAACAGGUUAGUUUUACCCUACUAAUGACAAAACGUUGUUGCGACAGCAUUCCUGCGUAGUACGAGAGGAACCGCAGGUACGGACCAAUGGCACGAUACUUGUUCGAGCGAACAGUGGUAUGACGCUACGUCCGUUGGAUUAUGCCUGAACGCCUCUAAGGUCGUAUCCGUGCUGGACUGCAAUGAUAAAUAAGGGGCAAUUUGCAUUGUAUGGCUUCUAAACCAUUAAAAGUUUAUUUUAUAAACGACAAUGGAUGUGAUGCCAAUGUUAUUUGUAACAUAGUAAAUUGGGAGGAUCUUCGAUCACCUGAUGCCGCGCUAGUUACUUAUUAAAACAUUAUUUAAUACAAUGACAAAGCCUAGAAUCAAUUGUAAACGACUUUUGUAACAGGCAAGGUGUUGUAAGUGGUUGAGCAGCUGCCAUACUGCGACCCACUGAAGCUUAUCCUUUGCUGAUGAUUCGA